GAUGAACGCUGGCGGCGUGCCUAAUACAUGCAAGUCGAGCGAACAGACGAGGAGCUUGCUCCUCUGACGUUAGCGGCGGACGGGUGAGUAACACGUGGAUAACCUCCCUAUAAGAGUGGGAUAACUUCGGGACAGCGGCGCUAAUACCGGAUAAUAUAUUGAACCGCGUGGUUCAAUAGUGAAAGACGGUGUUUCUGUCACUUAUAGCUGGAUCCGCGCCGCAUUAGCUAGUUGGUAAGGUAACGGCUUACCAAGGCAACCAUGCGUAGCCGACCUGAGAGGGUGAUCGGCCACCUUGGAACUGAGACACGGACCAGACUACUACGGGAGGCACCAGUAGGGAAUCUGCCGCAAUGGGCGAAAGCAUGACGGAGCAGCGCGGCGUGAGUGAUGAAGGUCUUCGGAUCGUAAAACUCGGUUAUUAGGGAAGAACAAAUGUGGAAGUAAAUAUGCACGUCUUGACGGUACCUAAUCAGAAAGCCACGGCUAACUACGUG
rnacentral:rRNA from 1 species